ensembl:lncRNA
GAGGAGCAGGGUUACAUUUUUCUUUCCACUGAUAAAUCCCACCCCGGAACAGAUUUCAGCAAGGCAGCUCACAAAGCUCGCGGGUGAACUACACAGGCCAUGUGGGUGCCGAGCUCAGAGCCGGAAAGCAAACAGCUGCUGUAGCCUGAUUUGAGUUAAAAUAGUGUGAGUGUUUAGUCUGGCGCACGGCUUCGGGGGAGAUUGGCAGCUGGGUCAAACAAAGUCCUUCCUUUGGCUCUCUUCCCAGGCUGCUCUGCUAGUAUUUAGUGGGUCCUAGUGCUGUGUAGGGCCCUUUUCUCAGGCAAAAUCCUAACAUCUGACCGCACCCUCUCUGCAAAAAAAAAAAAAAAAAAAAAAAAAAAAAAGGAGAAAAGGGAAAAAAAAUAGCUGUUUCUGCUUCUUGCGUUAUAAGAUAAAUUCUCCUGGAGACAACCUCUCUCCCACUAAUUGUGUGUUAGCCAUGCAUUUUUAUCUUGAGAGCUGAAGCACUGGGCUCUCAAGUGGUGUGGAAAGCAGCCUGUUACAGUGAGAGAUUCACUUCAUAAAAGGGCUGCUAUGGUGUGUGAAAGAAUAUCUGUGUGCUUAGGCAGGAAACUUUUUGAUCUCCAGAAAAGCCAGAAGACAUCUAGCACACCAGUAGGGGUGAUCAUCAAAGUGAGCUGUAUGCACUAUGGAGAGAUUCUACAAAACCCACUGGGACAAACAGCAGACGAACCCACAAACCUGUUCACUGUUACCCUUAAUGGUCACCCAGAAAGCAACUAUAAAGGCAUUUGAACUGGUCGAACAGGACGACAGAGCAGUGAACAUGAGAUCAUUUCAGCCGAGUAGCAAACUGGCACCCAGCCUUUUCACCCCUUCGGUUCGGGAGUCAAACGUGUGCAGUUCUCAUUUCUCAAGUCAGCCCAGCCUGGAAGGAUUCAGGGUCUCUCCCACCGUCUACCAUUCUGCUGCCAGCUGAUGGCAAGGAUUGGUCCAGCUUCGGUGCAGUGCUUUGUGCCUGGAAUACGGAGAAGGAAGAGAAUGACGACAAGCCCUCCUUUGCUGAGAAAUAGCAGGAGCCCCGAAGAAACAGCAAAAAGCCAAACAACACAAAAACCCAGAACUUCUCAGUACAUGCAAGAGUGCUGAAAAAUAAUGAUAAUGAUGAGAUGCGCCUGCUUGAAAACAAAACAAACAAACAAACAAAAACUCAAACCAAAGCAAACCAAAAGCAGCAAACUUUGGCUUGUCUAACUCCUGAGACAUCGGGCUUUGUAGAGCAGUUCUGAAGGCAACACCACCAAAUGAGCCUUCUUUGUUUUUAUUUCUUUGCUUUUUUAUGGUUAUUUCAAAAACUGUGGCCUAAGAGCAGUACGUUGCACUUGGUGAACCCGCACUUUCGUAUCAGGGGAACAUUUAAAGUGGAUAUGAGAAGAAAAGAAAAUGACCAUAGGAGAAAAAUCAUCUCAGAUUCACUUUAUGAAAAUUGCUCCUGAAAGAAUUUGGAUGUCCAAGAGUGGUCCCUAAAGGACCAAUACUUAUAGGACCUGGGAAUCCUUUUGAUUCUGCAGUGCAACUACCUAUCCUCUGUCCUCCAGUGAUGUCUGCUCAUGGUUAAAGUGAAGCAGAAGCAAUGCUUCUGUUGUUUACAUGUUUGCUUUCCCUCAGUUACGUAGAAAUCAAGACAUAAAUUCCUCUACACUUCAUACCAAACUGGAGUGGUUCAUUGUGUGCUAGCCACUGGUUAUUGCCACCUUAAUUUUGUAAUCAUGCUUACUUUUGAGGGUCUUUGUUGUCUGCAGACUAUUGUUAGGGUUGUUACCUCCCUUUUACUGUGAAGGGAGAAGAGAGAAGGAGGGAACAGAAUCAUAAAGAUUAGUGCUCAAUUGAUGGAGGAAACAGAAGCUUGUUCAAAUUUGGGUUUCCUCUCUUUCAUUUUAGUGUGUACCUGUGAACAAACUUGCCCACUGUCUCUAAAGGGCACUCCCUUAGGCCAGUGACAGAACCUAUCCUAUAACAACAGCCCCAAGAGAAACAUUAUUUGCCAUGGGAGUUAUAGCAAAGUACCCAGAAAUUCCAUUUAAACACUUGAAGUGAGAAAUGGCCCUCAGUGUGUCUUUCAUUUCCUUGAUUCCAGGGAAAAAUGCAAACAAAUGGGGGCUCCAACACUAGGCUGUAAGUUUGAAUCUCUUACAAUGGCCCAGACCUUUCCUUAUCAGAUGCCUUAUCUGUAGAGCUCUGGUAACAUCAAAAGUUCCUGAACAGUCACUUGUUAUAAACUUAGAAUAGGGUCUGCUUAGUACUCGUAGUUAAAAGAACUAUAGUCAUUAUUGCUAUUUGUUAUUUGUGAAAAUUAAGUCUCAUCUGACUUGAAAUGCAUAGAAAGUGCUUGUAUUUCUCUUUAUAUAUAAGAACGGCAUUCCCUCCUAAAACUAGAAGUUAGGAAGUUCAGAAUCAGCUUCUUCAUUUGUUAGAAGACUUUGGAACAGAUUUCUCUGUUUAUUAGAGGGUUUUCCAUCACUCCAUCUUGAGAACAAGCAUUCUGAGCAUGUGGAAAAUGAGCAUAUCCCCCUGGUGCCUUUGGCAGCACAUCAAGAGCAUAUAUAAAUUUACAUUACAAGUCCAUCUCUGUCCUGACACUUCCCUGAACUUCAUCUCUGUAGGAUGAUACUUUAAUAAUGACUUCUUGUAAACAUUUGGAAUGGAUUCAGACAUAGGUUAGUAUGGUUUCUGGUAAACAUCAAGAGGAAGAUUGCUCAUUGAUUUUAUCAUAUAUCUUGCAGAUCUACCCAUUGUGUAUCAUUCUCAUCCCUCUACUAAAUCUAGACACUACAAGAUAUGGGGUUGUCUUUAAAGCCUUGCCCUUCCAUUUGAGGGGAGUCAGAGACACCUCCCCUACAAGAAGGAAGAAAACCUUGUGUCAACAGCUGUCAGUGAAAAUCUGUCCCUACAAGUUUGUGUCAUGGAGCAUUAAUAUUCUUUAUAUGGCCAACAUUUCUAGCAUUUAAUUUUCCAGAUGUAUUUUCAAAAAACAUGUUAUAGUACGGUCCAUUACCAAUCACUAAUAGAGAGUUUUAUGACUCACUUUUGGACCAAAAAAAAAUGAUCAUUUGUUCUGUGAGGAUACAUUUGCAAAACUAGAUGUGGUAACAUUUAAAUGGCCACUUAUUUCUAGUAGAAUACCGCUCUGACUGUAGCCUAAAACUUAGAUUUUCAAUUCAUGGCAUCAUUAUCUUCAAACCCAGAUGGAUGUAUUUUGCACUUAAGGAGCAUAAGUGAAACCAGUUGGAUGGAAAUAGGCUGUGUCUUAUCAUUAAGAAAUUUAUAAAUGGAAAAAUAGUGAUUUGCAUACUAAAUGUAUGGUUGGAGGCCAGGUCCAUCCCCCAAUGGAGUUUGGCUUUUCAAGAAAGAGGAAAGCAACACACAUCUCCACUACAUGCUCCUUUGUUAAAGAAUGGUGGCUCCAGUAUCCAGUGGUCAAGCUGAGCCAUGUGAGCUCUUUCAUGAGUGUGAUGAGCAUUGUGGGGAUUCUUCCAUGACUCAUCUGUCCCUUCCAUCCACAAAACUUUUAUUUUAUGCAUAUUCUGCAUUUUAAAUUUCUAGAAAAUAGAGCUCUUAAAAUAAUGCCAUCACCGCCUUUAAUCCCACCACUCAGGAGACAGAGGCAGGCGGAUCUCUGUGAGUUCGAGGCCAGCCUGGUCUACAAGAGCAAGUUCCAGGAUAGCCUCCAAAGCCACAGAGAAACCCUGUCUCAAAAAAACCAAAAAAAAAGAAAGAAAGAAAGAAAGAAAAAGCCAUCACUGUUGUUUCUAUCUUAUUUUUAACCACUUUGUGACCUGUGAGGAUCCAUCAAACAGUUUUCAAUUCUUUCUUUAUUGAUGUCUCCACAGUCAGUUUCCAACAUUCCUAAGGACAGCUGUAAAGUAAACAAUGAUUUCCUGAAUUUAUGCAGUGCCUAUAGUGUAAAUAUUUCUGCAGAGAGAGGUUUCUUAGUCUAGAAUACACAUCCUGAAAAGCAAGGUGAUAGCCUGUGAAGUUUCUUUUUCUUUUUCUUUUUCUUUUUCUUUCUUUCUUUUUUUUUUUUACAUUUCUGUCUUCUGUAAGAUUUACUCAUACUUACAUAAACCUCAAGUGUUUGUUUUAUAGCUAAUCUCCACUGACAGCUCUUCCAAACUCUGUUUCUAUGUUGCUUAAAGUACAAAGGGUACGAUAAAGAAAUGAAAUGGAGGUUAAGCAACCUGUCUGAAGGCUCAGAGCUAGCUGCUGACUGUGUCAAGAAUCAAACAGAGAAUCAAACAACACUGGACCCACUGUUCCUUUAAAGGGCUCAUUGUUUCCAUGUGGCUCUUCUCAAGAGUAGGGUCCAACAUCUUUACUUGUCAAUGUAAAAUAUCCUUUACACUAUUAAGGCAUAUAAAUCAUACAAGUUAAUAUGCCAGUGUAAUGUUUAUAACCCAUGACAACUAACCACCAGUAAUAUAAUAUGUCAAGCAUGUAUUUAAUUGCUAAUUCUGGGCUGAUAAUUCUGAGGAUAAUUUUUGUUUUGCUUUGUUUUACUUUCAGGAAGUCACACAAGUUCCAGUAAUUAGUGGUAAAUGAAAGCACAACCUGAUAAAACACCUGCAGACUUUAAAAAUUGAUUUUGUAAUAUGAAUACUCAACAGGCUCCCAAAAGGUUUCCUUAUCACAAACUUAAGAAUGGCAAAUGUGAUUAGUGAAGUUAGUUGGAUUUUGGAAACAGAUACAAACAGGAUACUUUCUAAAGGAUGAAAGAAAGACAGUUCAGUGGAAGCAUUUCUCUGUACACUUAGGGCUGCAGAUUAUGAGGUGUUCCUGAAUUAUCCUCAGAAAGGGGCUGAGACAAGAGAACUUCCAAAGCCCUCUCACACAUGUGGCAUUGUGUUCUAGGUGAGAUCUUACUUUCCUGCACCAUUCCGGAAACAUUUACCUCUCUCCUAUGCUUGACGCUGCAUGAUGUAUAUACAUGACUGUCUACCCAACUCUUUUCCUCCUUGACACUGGACUUUGGGAGGACAAAACUAGGUGUCCAGGUAUCUGUGUUGUUUCAGUAAUUAACUCCUACUACAUGUAUUGAGGUUCUCUGUGAUUAGUUAUAGCUUAUCUAUACCAAGCUCAUGCAAGGCUGUUUAUGACUUUUAUUUCACCUGAGUGACAACUACAAGCUGAAACUCCAACAGGCUUAAUAGUGUGAAUGGCAGAAGGAGGAACUGAAGCCCAUCCAUUCCCUCCCUCUCUUAGGCUUUCAUUCAAUAGCUUUAUCCUGAGAGAAUCUUCAUGUGUCAGACAUUAUGUCAGAACUGAGGAUCUAAAGACAAAUGCAUUAAGAUCCCCUGAAACUCUGCCUAGUCACAGAGGUAGACUAUAAACAGUAAUUAUAACACAAUGUGAUAAGGGCUUUGACAGAACAAUGUGCUCUCUGCUCUGGGAUUUCUAAAGAUGGAAUAAAUGACUGUGCACACCAAAUUGUUCCAUUUAAUUUUAAUGUACUUUUAAUAUUCACUCUAGUCUGAUUGUUUAGUACGUAACAACCGUAAUUCAGAAAAAGGUAGGAAAAGGCCUAUGCAAAUUAUGAAGGUUUAAAUAUUGCAAUUCUAUUUCUAAACUAAUUAGAGCUCAUUAUUGUUCACAUUAUACAUUUAAUUUGAAUCUCAGACAGAAAUCUAUAUAGUGUCUAAUGUGGAAAAUCUUUAAAUGGCUUUCUUAGAAAAAAAACAUUAUUGUUGUCAUUUAUAUAACAUAGAAAUUCAAAGACAAGUCUCAGAAGAGAAUUAUUUUUGAAGGUACCUUCCAAGAACAGAAAUAUGGAGGAAUUAGGGUAAGGUACAACAUGUCAUGAAGAUAGCUCAGAUUAAGUCAGAAACAUAAAUAGUGUUCUAGAAGGAAGGUGGUGGGUGCCUGAGGUUUGAGUAGAAGUGCAUCUGCUGUUUGUUUUGUUUUUAUUAUUAUUAAAUCUUGUACAGAUAAUGUUUGACUGGAUUUAUUUCACUUGUCAUAGUUUAUCAAUUUUUUUUAAUUCUCUUGAAAAAAUAACUGGAAAAUUAUAGCAUUUAAUAAUGGCAAUUAAAAUAUCUUUUCUGAAUUAAUAAAAUCAUCAACCUCUUAACAUUUCUUAAUAAUCAUCAAGCUAUUGCAAUUGAAGCAAAGAAAGCCUAUUAACAACAAGACAUGAAUAUGCCAGGAAUAAAAAGUCUUAAGUAAAUUGCCAUUAUAAAAUGCUAUAGGUUUUUUUUUUUUGAAAAAAACUUGGAAAAUAAUUUGAAAUUUUAUUACAUUUCUUCUUUACUUUUAUAGAGAGAUCACAUUUAUGUAUAUUAAUAGGUUAUAUUGUGUGACUUUUUUCAACUGAGAAUAACUAGCAUACACAGAAAUUUAAAAUUUUAAUAUUUGCAAGAAGCCACACAUAUAUAUACUGAAAGCCACACAUAAUAUUACGUUUAAUUAUUUUCAUUCUGAAAGACCAGAAUUUAUUCUUCCAAACUAUAGCACUGUGUCAGAAGGCAGAUAUACUUUCUCUUCCCCAGCCUGCAGAAUCACUACCCCCUCUUUAAGAGCUCAGCUCUCUCAGAUUCCUCUUGAGUGAGAUCAUGCAGUUUAUCUUUCUCUGUGUGACACACAAGAUAAAAUACAUACGGUAAACAAAAUAGAUAUGAAAAGGUCCAAAAAGGGGGGGGGGAUAGAAUGAUACUCUGUUUAGAAGCUUAAUUUCAAAACCUGAGAGUGACCAGUAGCCAUUGGGUAAACACUUACGUAACCAACAGUGGUUUAAGAGUAAAGAGAAGUCAAACCAAUGAAAAAUGGGUAGAAGCCAAUAGCUGGUCAGUCACCCCUUUCAAGCAUCUGAAGAAUGCAUGUCCAACACAUUCCAGGAUCACCUCCCCUGCAGGCUGUGGAGUUGCCCUGCCCAGUGUCUAUCCAUCCACCUUAGGCCACAUUGUAAAGAGAAACUAGCAGGAGAAGCAGAUGCUCUUCUGUGUUUCCUAUGGAGCUCUACUCUAGUAACCCCUUCUCUUGUAAUUAAAAGAAAGUCAUAAUCAUUGUGGUAGGGGAAAGUUAGCUACCUAAGACAUUUGACAAAGGUGGUGCAAAGGGCAGUGAAAAGAGACUCAAUAGCAGGGGGUUGCUGGCUAAGCUAGCUUUACUUCUAACCAUUCUUUAAUUCCUUGUUCACAUUCCCUCACACCACCCCAACUAAAUUCCUAUGUUUCAUCAAUGUAAGGAUGCAAAUGGAGUGUUGCGUUGAUGGGUGCUCCACCUACCUGUCUUGAAUAAACAAAUCUAUUCCUUGUGAAUAGAAUCGGUAGAGAACCAGCCUUUUACUCACUUUUCUUCCAAAUUUCUGACUUACUGCUCCUGGAAGGGGUAUAGAGGGUUUUCUGAUCCACUUAGUUUGCAGGAAGUAAUUGAGUUGAUAGAUUAUACCAUUUCCUCCUUCUGAUCCUGUCUGUGGAUUCCCCUCCGAAUGAUUUGCAGAGUGUGAAAGUCUUUCUAGCUUCUUGAUGAAGUUCACUCCGGGAGUUAGACUGCUGAAGACCAGCAGCCACCAAAGCCACCCUAAACCAAUGGCUUCUCUCAUCUCCAAAGAGAGUAAGAAUAGGAGGACAUGGAGAAAGCAGAUUUAUUAGAGUCGAAUAAGAAGAAAAGAACUUCAUAGUGUGGGAGGGGCUCCAAAGAAUACCCUUGUGUUUACCUUCCAUGUCUUCUUUUAUGGGAUGUAUGGUGAGAAUUGGAUAGAGUCAGAGAUAAUUUUCACUAGACUGGUCCUGUCAGUGCAUCAGAGUGAGUCAAUAAGGAGUUGACAUGCUCUGCGCAUGCUCCCUAGUGUCGGUUUACUAGUCCGUUCCAGGGAGAAGUGGCUUCUCUGGGGCUAGCUGCGUUCCAGCAGGGACCCUACUUUUCUGCAUGAGGGAGCUAUCUGCUGUCUCACAAGGAGCCUAGAGUCGCUUCUACUCUAACACUUGCUUUCACUGCCUGCUGAAGCAUCAUAGCAACAUUAUGGUGUAGGGGAAACUGUAGCCACGCCUACUUAGGGGCUGGCUACAGGUGUGUCUGACCACGCUUGCAAGGGCGUGGUCAGGGGAACGUAGUAUGACUGAGUUUUUUGUUUCUGUCUCUCUUUUGGGUUUGCGUACAGACCGCUGCCACGCUGGCUGGCUAGGUUGCUCUGUAAGUAAG